UGGAUCCUUCGACUGAGGGGUUUUGCCGAUGCCGUCUCCCUCCGUUCCUCUUCGAUUUUUUCGGUUCGAUUUUUCCGGUGAGUUCUCGUUGUUUUGCCUCCAGCCAAGUCUUCCCCAUUUUUCCUCUUCUUUUCUUCUCUUUUCGGCGGCGCAUACGCGUUCUGGAGCAGAGGAACAGAGUUAGAGAUUUUUCUUGGUUCCAGUAGCUUCGAGAUCUUUGUCUUCCACCCUCAUCCCUGUUACUCGUCCAGUGGCCAGCAACCUUGAGAACGUCGAAAUCCUUACUGUGGGUAGUGCACAGUACUUCGUCCAGCUCUCCCCUGUUCCGUAUCAUUUUUCUUUCUUCAGCAUCUGUGUAAAUAUGUAACACUGAUUGCUAACGGCAGUUCCGUUAGCCCUUGGCGCGCCAUGGUACACCUAGCUAGCAGGGUGUUUAUAGGAGGUGCUAACCCCGUGCGAUGGCCAACGCACGUGGAACGGAAGGAUGGUUAUUCGUGAGCAUCGUACUCACAUUUGUUUUCGUGGCAUAAGUCGCGUUUGGUUACUUACCCUCGUGGAUUGUGUGUCCAUGUUUGUUUCGUGGCUUCGGCCGCGUUUGGUUAUUUGCUCUCGUGGAUUGUGUGUCCACGUUUGUUUUCGUGGUAUAAGCCGCGUUUGGUUAUUUAUCCUCGUGGACUGUGUGUCCACAUUUGUUAAUUGUUCUGAUAAGUCCUUAUAAUUAUGGAUUCAAUUAUUUGAUGAUUUUAUAUUUCAUUAAUUUUUAUUCA